rnacentral:rRNA from 1 species
UACAGAGGUCCCAAGCGUUGUUCGGAUUCAUUGGGCGUAAAGGGUGCGUAGGUGGCGUCGUAAGUCGGGUGUGAAAUCUCGGGGCUUAACUCCGAAACUGCAUUCGAUACUGCGGUGCUUGAGGACUGGAGAGGAGACUGGAAUUUACGGUGUAGCAGUGAAAUGCGUAGAGAUCGUAAGGAAGACCAGUGGCGAAGGCGGGUCUCUGGACCGUUCCUGACACUGAGGCACGAAGGCCAGGGGAGCAAACGGG